AUAUCAAUAAGCGGAGGAAAAGAAACCAACCGGGAUUGCCUCAGUAACGGCGAGUGAAGCGGCAAGAGCUCAAAUUUGAAAUCUGACCCUCCUGCGGGGUUCGAGUUGUAAUUUGGAGAGGAUGCUUCGGGCUUCGUCCCGGUCUAGGUGCCCUGGAACGGGUCGUCAGAGAGGGUGAGAAUCCCGUCUGGGACCGGUGACGAUGCCUCUGUGAAGCUCCUUCGACGAGUCGAGUUGUUUGGGAAUGCAGCUCUAAGUGGGUGGUAAAUUCCAUCUAAAGCUAAAUACAGGCCGGAGACCGAUAGCGCACAAGUAGAGUGAUCGAAAGAUGAAAAGCACUUUGAAAAGAGAGUCAAAGAGUAC
rnacentral:rRNA from 1 species